rnacentral:tRNA from 1 species
GCGCCUGUAGCUCAGGUGGAUAGAGCAGCGGUUUCCUAAACCGCGGGCCGCGGGUUCGAGUCCUGCCAGGCGCGCCA